rnacentral:rRNA from 1 species
GAUUAAGUUAUUAAGGGCGCACGGUGGAUGCCUUGGCACUAGAAGCCGAUGAAGGACGUUACUAACGACGAUAUGCUUUGGGGAGCUGUAAGUAAGCUGUGAUCCAGAGAUUUCCGAAUGGGGGAACCCAAUACGAGUUAUGUCGUAUUAUCGAUACGUAAAUACAUAGCGUAUCGAAGGUAGACGCGGAGAACUGAAACAUCUUAGUACCCGCAGGAAGAGAAAGAAAAAUCGAUUCCCUGAGUAGCGGCGAGCGAAACGGGAAGAGCCCAAACCAACGAGCUUGCUUGUUGGGGUUGUAGGACACUCUAUACGGAGUUACAAAGGAAUAGAUUAGACGAAGCAUCUGGAAAGAUGCAUCAAAGAAGGUAAUAAUCCUGUAGUCGAAAAUCUGUUCUCUCUU